rnacentral:tRNA from 1 species
AUGAAGCUCAGUGGUAGAGUGCUUGCCUAGCAUACAAAGGCCCUGGGUUCCAUCCCCAGCAU